GAAAUGGCUCAGUAGUUAAGCGUGCUAACAGACUGUCUUAGUGUUUUGCUGCUGUGAACAGACACCAUGACCAAGGCAACUCUUAUUACGGCAGCAUAAACUGGGGUUGGCUUUCAGGUUCAGAGAUUUAGUGCAGUAUCAUCAAGGUGGGAGCAUGGCAGCAUCCAGGCAGGCAUGGUGCAGGAGAAGCUGAGAGUUCAACAUCUUUAUCUGCAGGCCUCUAAGAGAAGACUAACUUCCAGAAACGGCAUGCAUUAUGAAAGAGCAGAUUCCUGAUGCCAUCUCCAGAAAGCCAGCGGUGGGAUAAUGCAUUUUUAAUCCUGAACACCUGGCUUCCUUUUAUUUGUCUGCCAGGAGGAGGUUUCUUGAUUAUGUAAAAACAGUCUGUCUUACCAGUACUAAAAACCUG
rnacentral:lncRNA from 1 species